rnacentral:rRNA from 1 species
UGGAAACGACUGCUAAGACUGGAUAGGAGACAAGAAGGCAUCUUCUUGUUUUUAAAAGACCUAGCAAUAGGUAUGCUUAGGGAGGAGCUUGCGUCACAUUAGUUAGUUGGUGGGGUAAAGGCCUACCAAGACUAUGAUGUGUAGCCGGGCUGAGAGGUUGAACGGCCACAUUGGGACUGAGACACGGCCCAAACUCCUACGGGAGGCAGCAGUAGGGAAUUUUCGGCAAUGGAGGAAACUCUGACCGAGCAACGCCGCGUGAACGAUGAAGUAUUUCGGUACGUAAAGUUCUUUUAUUAGGGAAGAAUAAAUGAUGGAAAAAUCAUUCUGACGGUACCUAAUGAAUAAGCCCCGGCUAACUAUGUGCCAGCAGCCGCGGUAAUACAUAGGGGGCAAGCGUUAUCCGGAAUUAUUGGGCGUAAAGGGUGCGUAGGCGGUUAAAUAAGUUUAUGGUCUAAGUGCAAUGCUCAACAUUGUGAUGCUAUAAAAACUGUUUAGCUAGAGUAAGAUAGAGGCAAGUGGAAUUCCAUGUGUAGUGGUAAAAUGCGUAAAUAUAUGGAGGAACACCAGUAGCGAAGGCGGCUUGCUGGGUCUUUACUGACGCUGAGGCACGAAAGCGUGGGGAGCAAACAGGAUUAGAUACCCUGGUAGUCCACGCCGUAAACGAUGAGUACUAAACGUUGGGUAAAACCAGUGUUGAAGUUAACACAUUAAGUACUCCGCCUGAGUAGUACGUACGCAAGUAUGAAACUUAAAGGAAUUGACGGGACUCCGCACAAGCGGUGGAUCAUGUUGUUUAAUUCGAAGGUACCCGAAAAACCUCACCAGGUCUUGACAUGCUUCUGCAAAGCUGUAGAAACACAGUGGAGGUUAUCAGUUGCACAGGUGGUGCAUGGUUGUCGUCAGCUCGUGUCGUGAGAUGUUGGGUUAAGUCCCGCAACGAGCGCAACCCUUAUUGUUAGUUACCAGCACGUAAUGGUGGGGACUUUAGCAAGACUGCCAGUGAUAAAUUGGAGGAAGGUGGGGACGACGUCAAAUCAUCAUGCCCCUUAUGACCUGGGCUACAAACGUGAUACAAUGGCUGUUACAAAGGGUAGCUGAAGCGCAAGUUUUUGGCGAAUCUCAAAAAAACAGUCUCAGUUCGGAUUGAAGUCUGCAACUCGACUUCAUGAAGUUGGAAUCGCUAGUAAUCGCGAAUCAGCAUGUCGCGGUGAAUACGUUCUCGGGGUUUGUACACACCGCCCGUCAAAC